AGAGCAUCCCGCGUCGCGUCCUCCCCACCCCGGCUCCGGCCCGCCCGCCGGAGCCCGGCCCGCGCCGCUGGCAGCCAUCAAGUGGCUCGUUAAGGAAAUGCAGGUGAGUGCGCGCGGCGGACGGCGGCUGCUGGAGACGUGGGGUGUGUGCCUGUGUGUGCGGGCGGGAGGCCGUGCGGGAGCGGCCGGGGAUGCUCGCCGCCUCUGCUCCCCGCCCCGCCGCGCCCGCAGCCGGCGGCCCGAGCGCGUGCGGCCGCGCCUAGCACUGACAGCCGCUCGCCUCCUCGCCGUCUCGCCGGCCUCUCCCUCCUCGCUCCCCUCCCAGCCCGAGCCCUCCCGCUGCUCCUCCUCCUCUUGCUCAGCCUCCUCCCCUCGCGCCGCGCUGACAGGCAGCCUCGGCGGGGAGAGUGCAGUUUAUUCUUGGCCUGUGUGGAAUAGAAAGACAAUUCUUUCUCUGACUGGUAGGAAAGAAAAGAGAAGACUCCUCAGGGUUUCCAAGGAGGACCGGAGCGGCUGCUUUAAGAACUGAAAGAAAAUAGAAAUCUCCUGCCAUAAAUCCAGAGUGGCCCUCUUCCACUCAGAUUUCAUUGUUCUGGAAUUGUUACCUAUGGAAUCCCACCUAUCCAUCCUCAUCAAUCCUUCCAGAAGGAUGAAAUUCUUGGAAACAUUCAAGGCACAAGGAAUGAGUAACACUUCUCCUGAAGCAGACUAAGAGAAACAAGAAUAACAGUGGAACUGAGGAACUAGAUAAAAGGUGGAAGGUAAAGCAUGGAUUUCCUGACCCAAGAGCCUCAAUUUGUUGCUGCCCUGCAAUCAAGAUGAACACAUAGAUCGUGAGACAUUUUUGUGAGAGACAAAAAACCUACUUGCUUUAGCCAUUCCUCUCUUUCUGAGGUUUGCUUGGCAAUUCAAUCAUUGAGUGUCUACGACCAGUGAAAGCACCUCCUCCUCUACUGAGACACCGUGAAUGUUAAAGAACCUCAGUCCCCGUUGCCAGUCAAUAAGCAGGGAAGAAAUGGGUUGUCUUAAAAUUUGGGAGACUCUUUUAUAGAGAGAGUAGUGAAAGAGAAUUGAGUUGAAGAACAAGGGUCAUGGACCAGGAGGGCAGCUAGCGGAAACUAACCCAGAGUAACCAGGAAUGAAGAGACUGGGUGUAAGGCAUUUCUGGUGUGAAAACAAAAUAAGAAAGUUUUGGAUUGCAUCCUCCAAAAUCUCCCCAUAGAUUUCCCUAAAAUAAGUUUUCAGUGAUGUACCUCCUUGUACUUAUGUAGUUUGAAAUUUUUCCCAUAAGAUGAAACAGUGACAAUGAAUAUCAUUUCUAACACUUAUAAACUGCUUAUUUAAAAACUAUUAUACCUCUAUUUAAAUGUAUCCAAUAAUAUGGUCACAGUUUAUCCAUAUGAUACAAUCAUCUUCAAAAUAGGUGAACAAGCUAUAAUUGUCAGAAAUUGUACAUUUUCUCAUUUAAUUUGUGUUUCUUUUUAUUUCCCAAUAGAAUUUUAUCAGAAUGAAAUAAAAUAUCUUAUUCUUGAAAAUCUUAGUCAUUGUUGAACUAUGGA
rnacentral:lncRNA from 1 species